rnacentral:rRNA from 1 species
CCUACGUGUGGCUGCAGUGAGGAAUAUUGGUCAAUGGCCGAGAGUCUGAACCAGCCAAGUCGCGUGCGGGAAGACUGUCCUCUGGAUUGUAAACCUCUUUUGUUAGGGAGCAAAAUCACCCUCGUGUGGCUGUUAUCGAAUGUCUGAAGAGAAAGCGUCGGCUAACUCCGUGCACGCGUCCGCGGGGAUACGUGGGAGGCGAGGGUUAUCCGGUGUUAUUUGGGGUAAAGGGUGCGUAGGCGGCUUAUACAGAAAGCGGUAAAAUCGUGGAGCUCAACGCCGUACAGCCGUUGAAACUGAUGACCUUGAGUGGGCGCAAAGUAGGCGGAAUGCGUGGUGUAGCGGUGAAAUGCAUAGAUAUCAUGCAGAACUCCGAUCGCGAAGGCA